rfam:Phytophthora infestans T30-4 supercont1.3 genomic scaffold, whole genome shotgun sequence.
CGCUUUUUAGCUCAGUGGUCGAGCGUUGUCUUUGGAAGCCACAGGUCGGGGGUUCGAACCCACCAGGGCAC